CUGGCGGCAGGCCUAACACAUGCAAGUCGAGCGGUAGAGAGAAGCUUGCUUCUCUUGAGAGCGGCGGACGGGUGAGUAAUGCCUAGGAAUCUGCCUGGUAGUGGGGGAUAACGUUCGGAAACGGACGCUAAUACCGCAUACGUCCUACGGGAGAAAGCAGGGGACCUUCGGGCCUUGCGCUAUCAGAUGAGCCUAGGUCGGAUUAGCUAGUUGGUGGGGUAAUGGCUCACCAAGGCGACGAUCCGUAACUGGUCUGAGAGGAUGAUCAGUCACACUGGAACUGAGACACGGUCCAGACUCCUACGGGAGGCAGCAGUGGGGAAUAUUGGACAAUGGGCGAAAGCCUGAUCCAGCCAUGCCGCGUGUGUGAAGAAGGUCUUCGGAUUGUAAAGCACUUUAAGUUGGGAGGAAGGGUUGUAGAUUAAUACUCUGCAAUUUUGACGUUACCGACAGAAUAAGCACCGGCUAACUCUGUGCCAGCAGCCGCGGUAAUACAGAGGGUGCAAGCGUUAAUCGGAAUUACUGGGCGUAAAGCGCGCGUAGGUGGUUAGUUAAGUUGGAUGUGAAAUCCCCGGGCUCAACCUGGGAACUGCAUUCAAAACUGACUGACUAGAGUAUGGUAGAGGGUGGUGGAAUUUCCUGUGUAGCGGUGAAAUGCGUAGAUAUAGGAAGGAACACCAGUGGCGAAGGCGACCACCUGGACUGAUACUGACACUGAAGGUGCGAA
rnacentral:rRNA from 1 species